ACUCUGAGAGAGAGUAACAGUACGUGAAACCGCAUGCAGGUAAACGGGUGGCGUCAAGCUGCAAGCUCAGAGGAUUCAGCCGGCUAGGAUGUUGUGUAUGCGCCUGGCGCAUCCAUCAGUCAGAGUAUGAUUAGAUAGUCCACUGGUAAACGGUGGGCCCGACCGCAAGGUUGGGAUAUGUGUACCGGGUGGGUGCCGGAGCAUGCUAUCUGUCUAGGGACUGUCUAGCCGGUGCACUUUCUCUGUGGCUGACACCACGACCGGUGGUAUUGCCAGUCUGCUGUGUCCAAGUCGUAUCCGGUAGGUCCUUGUGGCCAACUGGGUGCGAUCACAGACAAACUCAGUAUACGGCGUAGAGGGGUUUCGGCUUCUUUGCGUGUUAUCGGCUACUGGUUGUCAACGGGCUGCCUAGUGUUUGUUGUAAUCGGCACUUGGGUAGUCUGGUGGGGCAUGGUGGUAAGAAUAACUGUGCAAGGCACCGGAUUUAUCGGCCUCAAAUGCACUCCGCGCCCAUGUUACAAGUGGUGCUAUGGUGGUGCCGUCGCUGCCUGCUCGGUGUUGGGUCUGAUUGUCGUGUCGCCUGCGAAAAGUGGGCCCGGCUUUGGCUCGACUCGAGAUGGGUAGUGUAUGGUGUCGUCAGUGCGGAGUGUGGUGGGCCUAAUAGUCAGUGGUGUAGUGGUAGACGAGCUACCCGACCCGUCUUGAAACACGGAC
rnacentral:rRNA from 1 species